rnacentral:tRNA from 1 species
CUCUGGUGGCUCAAUCGGAUAGAGCGUUGGACUUCUAAUCCAAAGGUUGCGGGUUCAAGUCCCGCCCAGAGUA